rnacentral:rRNA from 1 species
GAUUAGUGGCGAACGGGUGAGUAACACGUGAGUAACCUGCCCUUGACUCUGGGAUAAGCCUGGGAAACUGGGUCUAAUACCGGAUAUGACCAUCUGACGCAUGUCAUGGUGGUGGAAAGCUUUUGUGGUUUUGGAUGGACUCGCGGCCUAUCAGCUUGUUGGUGGGGUAAUGGCCUACCAAGGCGACGACGGGUAGCCGGCCUGAGAGGGUGACCGGCCACACUGGGACUGAGACACGGCCCAGACUCCUACGGGAGGCAGCAGUGGGGAAUAUUGCACAAUGGGCGGAAGCCUGAUGCAGCGACGCCGCGUGAGGGAUGACGGCCUUCGGGUUGUAAACCUCUUUCAGUAGGGAAGAAGCGAAAGUGACGGUACCUGCAGAAGAAGCGCCGGCUAACUACGUGCCAGCAGCCGCGGUAAUACGUAGGGCGCAAGCGUUAUCCGGAAUUAUUGGGCGUAAAGAGCUCGUAGGCGGUUUGUCGCGUCUGCUGUGAAAGACCGGGGCUCAACUCCGGUUCUGCAGUGGGUACGGGCAGACUAGAGUGCAGUAGGGGAGACUGGAAUUCCUGGUGUAGCGGUGAAAUGCGCAGAUAUCAGGAGGAACACCGAUGGCGAAGGCAGGUCUCUGGGCUGUAACUGACGCUGAGGAGCGAAAGCAUGGGGAGCGAACAGGAUUAGAUACCCUGGUAGUCCAUGCCGUAAACGUUGGGCACUAGGUGUGGGGGACAUUCCACGUUUUCCGCGCCGUAGCUAACGCAUUAAGUGCCCCGCCUGGGGAGUACGGCCGCAAGGCUAAAACUCAAAGGAAUUGACGGGGGCCCGCACAAGCGGCGGAGCAUGCGGAUUAAUUCGAUGCAACGCGAAGAACCUUACCAAGGCUUGACAUGAACCGGAAAGACCUGGAAACAGGUGCCCCGCUUGCGGUCGGUUUACAGGUGGUGCAUGGUUGUCGUCAGCUCGUGUCGUGAGAUGUUGGGUUAAGUCCCGCAACGAGCGCAACCCUCGUUCUAUGUUGCCAGCGCGUUAUGGCGGGGACUCAUAGGAGACUGCCGGGGUCAACUCGGAGGAAGGUGGGGACGACGUCAAAUCAUCAUGCCCCUUAUGUCUUGGGCUUCACGCAUGCUACAAUGGCCGGUACAAAGGGUUGCGAUACUGUGAGGUGGAGCUAAUCCCAAAAAGCCGGUCUCAGUUCGGAUUGGGGUCUGCAACUCGACCCCAUGAAGUCGGAGUCGCUAGUAAUCGCAGAUCAGCAACGCUGCGGUGAAUACGUUCCCGGGCCUUGUACACACCGCCCGUCAAGUCACGAAAGUU